rnacentral:rRNA from 1 species
UAAGACAGAGGAGCCAAGCGUUGUCCGGACUGACUGGGCGUAAAGCGCCCGCAGGCGGCCGUGCACGUGGGGUGUGAAAGCUCGCGGCUUAACUGCGAGAGGCCAUCCCAUACGGCGCGGCUCGAGCCGUCCAGAGGCCGGUGGAAUUGCCGGUGUAGUGGUGAAAUGCGUAGAGAUCGGCAGGAACACCCAGGGGGAAACCAGCCGGCUGGGGACGGGCUGACGCUCAGGGGCGAAAGCGUGGGGAGCGAACCGGAUUAGAUACCCGGGUAGUCCACGCGGUAAACGAUGGCCACUCGGCAUCUGCUUCCGUUAUACGGCGGUGGGUGCCCAAGCUAACGCGGAAGUGGCCCGCCUGGGAACUACGAGCGCAAGCUUA